rnacentral:rRNA from 1 species
UGCGUAGACGGUUUCGUAAGUCGGGUGUGAAAUCCCCGGGCUCAACCUGGGAAUUGCAUUCGAAACUGCGAGGCUAGGGUACGGAAGAGGGAAGCGGAAUUUCUGGUGUAGCGGUGAAAUGCGUAGAUAUCAGAAGGAACAUCAGUGGCGAAAGCGGCUUCCUGGUCCAGUACCGACGUUCAGGCACGAAAGCGUGGGGAGCAAACA